AAUGAACGCUGGCGGCGCGCCUAAUACAUGCAAGUCGAGCGAGAAGACGUAGCAAUACGUUUGUAAAGCGGCGAACGGGUGAGGAAUACAUGGGUAACCUACCCUCGAGUGGGGAAUAACUAGCCGAAAGGUUAGCUAAUACCGCGUACGCUCCUUGGACUUCGGUUCAGGGAGGAAAGCGAUACCGUGGGUAUCGCGCUCUUGGUUGGGCUCAUGUCCUAUCAGCUUGUUGGUGAGGNGAUGGCCUACCAAGGCGACGACGGGUAGCCGGCCUGAGAGGGCGACCGGCCACACUGGGACUGAGACACGGCCCAGACUCCUACGGGAGGCAGCAGUGGGGAAUCUUGCGCAAUGGGCGAAAGCCUGACGCAGCGACGCCGCGUGAGGGAUGACGGCCUGG
rnacentral:rRNA from 1 species